GAUGAACGCUGGCGGCGUGCCUCAUACAUGCAAGUCGAGCGAAGCGGGGACGGGUGCGUAACACGUGGAUAACCUCCUAUAAGACUGGGAUAACUUCGGGAAAACGGAUCUAAACCGGACACUUAUACAUGGAUCCUCGCUGCAUUAGCUACUUGGUAAGGUAACGGCUUACCAAGGCAACGAUGCAUAGCCGACCUGAGAGGGUGAUCGGCCACACUGGAACUGAGACUCGGUCCAGACUCCUACGGGAGGCAGCAGUAGGGAAUCUUCCGCAAUGGGCGAAAGCCUGACUGAGCAACGCCGCGUGAGUGAUGAAGGUCUUCGGAUCGUAAAACUCUGUUAUUAGGGAAGCGGUACCUAAUCAGAAAGCCACGGCUAACUACGUGCCAGCAGCCGCGGUAAUUC
rnacentral:rRNA from 1 species